AUUGAACGCUGGCGGCAGGCCUAACACAUGCAAGUCGAACGAGUCGCGGACGGGUGAGUAAUGUCUGGGACACUGCCUGCUGGAGGGGGAUAACUACUGGAAACGGUAGCUAAUACCGCAUACCAUCAGAUGUGCCCAGCUGGGCUUAGCUAGUUGGUGGGGUAACGGCUCACCAAGGCGCCGAUCCCUAGCUGGUCUGAGAGGAUGACCGGGCACACGGGAACUUAGGCACGGUCCAGACGCCUACGGUAGGCAGCGGUGGGGAAUAUGGGGCAAUGGGAGAAAGCCUGAUGCAGCCAUGCCGCGUGGAUGAAGAGGGCCUGCGGGUUGUAAAGUACUUUCAGCGGGGAGGCGGUACCCGCAGAAGAAGCACCGGCUAACUACGUGCCAGCAGCCGCGGUAAUUC
rnacentral:rRNA from 1 species